rnacentral:rRNA from 1 species
UACGGGGGGGAGCAAGCGUUGUUCGGAUUUACUGGGCGUAAAGGGCGCGUAGGCGGUCAGCACAAGUCAGUUGUGAAAUCUCCGGGCUUAACUCGGAAAGGUCAACUGAUACUGUGCGACUAGAGUGCGGAAGGGGGCAACUGGAAUUCUCGGUGUAGCGGUGAAAUGCGUAGAUAUCGAGAGGAACACCUGCGGCGAAGGCGGGUUGCUGGGCAGUAACUGACGCUGAGGAGCGAAAGCGUGGGGAGCGAACAGG